rnacentral:rRNA from 1 species
AACGAACGCUGGCGGCAGGCUUAACACAUGCAAGUCGAACGCCCCGCAAGGGGAGUGGCAGACGGGUGAGUAACGCGUGGGAAUCUACCCAGUUCACGGAACAACACAGGGAAACUUGUGCUAAUACCGUAUACGCCCUACGGGGGAGAGAUUUAUCGGAAUUGGAUGAGCCCGCGUUGGAUUAGCUAGUUGGUGGGGUAAUGGCCUACCAAGGCGACGAUCCAUAGCUGGUCUGAGAGGAUGAUCAGCCACACUGGGACUGAGACACGGCCCAGACUCCUACGGGAGGCAGCAGUGGGGAAUAUUGGACAAUGGGCGCAAGCCUGAUCCAGCCAUGCCGCGUGAGUGAUGAAGGCCUUAGGGUUGUAAAGCUCUUUCAGUGGGGACGAUAAUGACGGUACCCACAGAAGAAGCCCCGGCUAACUUCGUGCCAGCAGCCGCCGUAAAAC